UACGUAGGGUCCGAGCGUUGUCCGGAAUUAUUGGGCGUAAAGGGCUCGUAGGUGGUUUGUCGCGUCGGGAGUGAAAUCCCUGGGCUUAACCCAGGGCCUGCUUUCGAUACUGGCAGACUAGAGGCAUUCAGGGGAGAACGGAAUUCCUGGUGUAGCGGUGAAAUGCGCAGAUAUCAGGAGGAACACCGGUGGCGAAGGCGGUUCUCUGGGAAUGUUCUGACGCUGAGGAGCGAAAGUGUGGGGAGCGAACAGG
rnacentral:rRNA from 1 species